rnacentral:rRNA from 1 species
GAUGAACGCUGGCGGCGUGCCUAACACAUGCAAGUCGAACGGAACGCUUCUAAACGGAGGCUUCGGCCAAAGUUUGGUUGCGUUUAGUGGCGGACGGGUGAGUAACGCGUGAGCAACCUGCCCUUCAGUGGGGGACAACAGUUGGAAACGACUGCUAAUACCGCAUAUUGCAUUUGGACCGCAUGGUCUAAAUGUGAAAGAUUUUAUCGCUGAAGGAUGGGCUCGCGUCUGAUUAGCUAGUUGGUGAGGUAAUGGCUCACCAAGGCUGCGAUCAGUAGCCGGACUGAGAGGUUGAACGGCCACAUUGGGACUGAGAUACGGCCCAGACUCCUACGGGAGGCAGCAGUGGGGAAUAUUGGGCAAUGGGCGCAAGCCUGACCCAGCAACGCCGCGUGGAGGAAGAAGGCUUUCGGGUUGUAAACUCCUUUGACCAGGGAAGAAGAACGUGACGGUACCUGGAAAACAAGCCACGGCUAACUACGUGCCAGCCGCCGCCGUAACAC